rfam:Viridibacillus arenosi FSL R5-213 Contig016, whole genome shotgun sequence.
GUACCUUUUAACAGAUUGCCCAGAGAGGCAAAGAAGGGUUAUAUAGAUUCGAAAGCAAGUGCAAAAGCGCUAUGCUUAUCCUGUCAUAUCCUUCCUCAGCCUCCCUACUAAUCUAGGGAGGCUUUAUUUAU